GAGUUAAACAAAACUCUGAGUUGAUUUACUCUGAGUUUGCAAACCUGGAGUUUUCGGUUCCAGAACAGCUGAAAAGAGUUGGUUUUUAGCAACUCUGAGUUGUCUGACUCAGAGUUAAGCGCAUGCGCCGCGACGAUACAAAGCCCUGAUCAAUGGAGUGAAGAUAUUACGAGUCACCAUGGCAACAGGACAACAAAUGACAUUCGGAAAUGGAUAUGAUACGUCAAGCAUAUAACGACUACGAGUCUAUAAUCCGUAGAAAAAGCAACACGGCUGCAGCGGCGAAAGAGAAAGAAUUAGCUUGGAAGAAAAUAGCUCCUCGAGUCAAUGCCCAACAGAAAGAGAGAUGGCCCUCAGCCUGAACACUGGAAAGCAGAGGCUAAAGAAAUUCCUGGAGGGAGUUCACCAGAACCAGUCACUCCCCAGGAUACAAGGGCAUGUGUAAAAUAUUCUGAUGGUAAUAUGUGAAUCUUCCUGUCACAACAGAAGCCCAGGAUGUUGUAAGUAUACUACUAAAUAAAGCUUAAAUUAUGAUAAGCAGUAUUAUAAAGUGUAAUAUUAAUACAGUUUAUACACAGCACAUGAUUUCUGAUGUUUGUGUUGCAUAGCCUAAAGGAUGUAACUUGAUCUCCAAGUAUACAAGUAUACAUUAUUAUCUCCCCUCUGCCCCAGAGUGUGGAAGAACAGCAGGAGGAGGUCAGUCACAUUCUGCUGCACAGAUGCACACAGUCAGUGAUGUUCAGUAAAUGCCAGAGUUCAAUUCUGUAAGAGUAAUGAGGAACUAUGUCUUGUAACUAUAAAUCUUCUGUAUUUUAAGUUACCGGUUACAGAGUUGUAUAAACUUAAUCUCAAGGAAAUAUUAUACUUGUACCACAAGAUUGAAAAGACAGAUCUAGAAAUUGAAAUUCCCAAACACAAGCUGGAGGUGAGUGUAUAGUUAAAGGUGAAUUGUAUGAAUUAUUGGAAGAAUCAUAAAAUCUAACAAUUGCCUUUGUAUUUGUAGGAAAUGAAGAAAACCAAAUAAAUUAUGAUUUGCAUUUA